rnacentral:rRNA from 1 species
UACAGAGGUCCCAAGCGUUGUUCGGAUUCAUUGGGCGUAAAGGGCGCGUAGGCGGCGGGGCCAGUCGGGUGUGAAAUGCCGGGGCUUAACCCCGGCCCGGCACCCGAUACUGCCUUGCUCGGAGGGCUGGAGAGGAGAUCGGAAUUCACGGUGUAGCAGUGAAAUGCGUAGAGAUCGUGAGGAAGACCGGUGGCGAAGGCGGAUCUCUGGACAGCACCUGACGCUGAGGCGCGAAGGCCAGGGGAGCAAACGGG